AGAGUUUGAUCCUGGCUCAGAACGAACGCUGGCGGCGUGCCUAACACAUGCAAGUCGCGCGAGAAAGUGGGGGCAACUCCAUGAGUAAAGCGGCGCACGGGUGAGUAGUACGUAGGUAACCUGCCUUCGAGAUCGGGAUAACCUUCCGAAAGGAGGGCUAAUACUGGAUGAGACCACAGAGCUUCGGCGCCGUGGUCAAAGGUGGCCUCUGCUCGCAAGCUACCGCUCGAAGAUGGGCCUGCGCACCAUUAGCUAGUUGGCGAGGUAACGGCUCACCAAGGCGAAGAUGGUUAGCUGAUCUGAGAGGAUGAUCAGCCACACUGGGACUGAGACACGGCCCAGACUCCUACGGGAGGCAGCAGUGGGGAAUCUUGGACAAUGGGGGAAACCCUGAUCCAGCGACGCCGCGUGGGUGAUGAAGGCCUUCGGGUCGUAAAGCCCUGUCGGGGGGGAAGAAACUCCUGCCGGUGAACAACCGGCGAGACUGACGGUACCCCCUAAGGAAGCACCGGCUAACUCCGUGCCAGCAGCCGCGGUAAGACGGAGGGUGCAAGCGUUGUUCGGAAUUACUGGGCGUAAAGGGCGCGUAGGCGGUCUGUUAAGUUCGGUGUGAAAGCCCCCGGCUUACCCGGGGAACUGCGCCGGAAACCGACAGACUCGAGUACCGGAGAGGAGGGUGGAAUUCCUGGUGUAGCGGUGAAAUGCGUAGAUAUCAGGAGGAACACCGGUGGCGAAGGCGGCCCUCUGGACGGAUACUGACGCUGAGGCGCGAAAGCGUGGGGAUCAAACAGGAUUAGAUACCCUGGUAGUCCACGCUGUAAACGAUGGGAGCUAGGUGUGGGAGGUAUUGACCCUUCCGUGCCGCCGCUAACGCAUUAAGCUCCCCGCCUGGGGAUUACGGCCGCAAGGUUAAACUCAAAGGAAUUGACGGGGCCCGCACAAGCGGUGGAGCAUGUGGUUCAAUUCGACGCAACGCGAAAACCUUACCU
rnacentral:rRNA from 1 species